AUGCAAACUAUUGUUAUAACUCAGCCCAGUUGGUUCAUGCCCUGGCUUGCUCUGACACCGCAUAAACUUGAGCGUUUCAAAGGAGCGAUGCACGACGACCCUACCAGCUUGUCAACUGUGUCUGAUUACCCUCUGAUAAUCCAUAGCUGUUCCUCAUCAAAAAAGUAAAGCAGCAAACCCUACUGAUCACAACCUGAAAGGCUGACAGAGCUUUUAAGCCAAAAUUGUUUGCCAAUUUGUCCCAACCUCAUGGAGGAUACAUCUGUUUCAGCAGAUUUGCUGUUCAUUGAAGUAACUGCUUUGUCCUAAAAACUGAUAGACUUGUCAAAGCCCAAACCCAGGACAGAAGAAUAAACCUUCAUUUUCCCAGAAUGAGGAGCAGAACUCUGUGAGGUGAUCAGCAGGCAGGACGGGACCUGAAGGUACAUGAAGCAGAAGACAGCCCUAUUUAAACAGCAAUGACAAUGCAAUCCGAUCCUGAGGUCAGGCUGCAGCAUGGGGACUUGGGAGGUCUGUAUGGAGGCCCUGGCCCAGCUCCAGGUGCUGUCACGACCUUCUGGCAGUCACAAAGGAGCAAGACCAAGCACAACACUUGUCCUGAAGCGGGCCUCCAAAUGGACCAUCAUGAUCACAGCCAGAAGGAAGGGUAGCCCUCUCUCCAGGGAUACACCAGAGAAGUCUGGUAGCCUGUCUCUUGGGGCACCCAAAAAACCAUGUCUGAUGAAAAUGUGAGUGUCGUGCAGUUUUCUGUUGUAAUGCUUCCACGGAGUGUUCUCCUAGAUGUCAAAAAAUCACUGCGCAGAGGUGUCACCCUUUGCAUUCACCAGACCUCUACUUUCUUCUUUAACUUGUCCAGUACCUUCACAAAUUCUUAUGAACUUAUGUCCACAGUGUGUCACAGCUCAGUGUACUUUGCUGUGUGCAGAGCCAUUUCCUCCUGCUUGACUUGAACCCACUGCCCCUGCUUUUCAUUUACCAAUCUGCAUAGGAAGUGACAAGUGUCCCUCUCCACUUUCUCCAGGCGCUUCGUCCACAGUCUGGUGUACAAAAGCCUGCCUCAAAGCAAAUCUAUCAGCAUACAUCAGAGUAAAAAUCAGUCUGUAAGGUCACCUGAGAGUCCUGUUUUCUCACUACAAAACACGGAUUAACAAACACCAUCUUCUCAGGCUCUUUUUACCAGUCAGUCUCUCCAUUAGAAAAGAACAUCACAGGUGAAACACCUGCAAGCAGAAAUAAAGCAGGUUGAAGCUGUUUUGAUGAAACAACAUCCUUUGUGUAAGAUAGAUAGCAAGCAUCUCCUGUUAGGCCAAA